GUAAAAUUUCAUUUUUUAUGGCUGAAAAUACUAGUUUGAAGCAGCAGUUGAGUGGCAAUGGUUUGUGUCCUUCUCCUUUGUAUCCACCAAUGGCUCCCAUGCCAUAUUCGUGGGUGCCGUGUGCCCCUUAUGUUGUUAAGCCGCCAGGGUCUCAGGUGCAGCACUUGGUUCCAAUCCCUAGAUUGAAGACUCAGCAGCCUGUGUCAGCUGUGAAAGCUAAAAAGGCAGAGGCUAAGAAAGCUGAAGUUAAGACUAAGAAGGUUGCUAGUGUUAGUUUUUUAGGUUUGUUAUUUUUCAUUUUGUUGUUUGG
rnacentral:misc_RNA from 1 species